rnacentral:rRNA from 1 species
CCUGCGGAGGGAUCAUUACACAAAUAUGAAGGCGGGCUGGAACCUCUCGGGGUUACAGCCUUGCUGAAUUAUUCACCCUUGUCUUUUGCGUACUUCUUGUUUCCUUGGUGGGUUCGCCCACCACUAGGACAAACAUAAACCUUUUGUAAUUGCAAUCAGCGUCAGUAACAAAUUAAUAAUUACAACUUUCAACAACGGAUCUCUUGGUUCUGGCAUCGAUGAAGAACGCAGCGAAAUGCGAUAAGUAGUGUGAAUUGCAGAAUUCAGUGAAUCAUCGAAUCUUUGAACGCACAUUGCGCCCUUUGGUAUUCCAAAGGGCAUGCCUGUUCGAGCGUCAUUUGUACCCUCAAGCUUUGCUUGGUGUUGGGCGUCUUGUCUCUAGCUUUGCUGGAGACUCGCCUUAAAGUAAUUGGCAGCCGGCCUACUGGUUUCGGAGCGCAGCACAAGUCGCACUCUCUAUCAGCAAAGGUCUAGCAUCCAUUAAGCCUUUUUUUCAACUUUUGACCUCGGAUCAGGUAGGGAUACCCGCUGAACUUAAGCAUAUCAA